AUUGAACGCUGGCGGCAGGCCUAACACAUGCAAGUCGGACGGUAGCACAGAGGAGCUUGCUCCUCGGGUGACGAGUGGCGGACGGGUGAGUAAUGUCUGGGGAUCUGCCCGAUAGAGGGGGAUAACCACUGGAAACGGUGGCUAAUACCGCAUAACGUCGCAAGACCAAAGAGGGGGACCUUCGGGCCUCUCACUAUCGGAUGAACCCAGAUGGGAUUAGCUAGUAGGCGGGGUAACGGCCCACCUAGGCGACGAUCCCUAGCUGGUCUGAGAGGAUGACCAGCCACACUAGAACUGAGACACGGUCCAGACUCCUACGGGAGGCAGCAGUGGGGAAUAUUGCACAAUGGGCGCAAGCCUGAUGCAGCCAUGCCGCGUGUAGGAAGAAGGCCUUCGGGUUGUAAAGUACUUUCAGCGGGGAGGAAGGCGAUGUGGUUAAUAACCGCGUCGAUUGACGUUACCCGCAGAAGAAGCACCGGCUAACUCCGUGCCAGCCGCCGCGGUAA
rnacentral:rRNA from 1 species